GGUGCGGCUGGGACUGCGGCACCGCGAGGGGGAGCCGGGGCGCGGUGCGAGGUGUGGGGGCGCUCGCCCUAUUGCUGCUGCCGCUGGGUCUAGGGUGGGCGGCCGGCCCCGCGGUCCCGCGGUCGCCUGAUCCUCACAGAAGCUGUCGGAGCUAGGCUGUCCAGUUCGGUAGACCCUAGGCACGGUGGCUGCUGAGCAUUGAAACAUGCGAGUGAAAUUUUGGUGCAGUGACUCAGAUUGGGGGACCUCCCUUAGGAGAUCAAUCCCCUGUCCUCCUGCUCUUUGCUCCGUGAGAAAGAUCCACCUACGACCUCAGGUCCUCAGACCGACCAGCCCAAGGAACACCUCACCAAUUGUAAAUCAAUGAGACAAAACCCAGCCACACCUCCAGCACGCAAGAACUUCAAAAUGCCUAAGCCGCACACACCUAAGCCGCAGCAGUCAAGCAUUCCUACAAGACUUCCUCCAUCAGGAUCUUGCUUCAAGUGCCAGAAAUCUGGCCACUAGGCCAAGGAAUGCCCACAGCCCAGGAUUCCUCCCAAGCCAUCUGUGCAGGGACCCACUGGAAAUCAGACUGCCCAGCUCAUCCCCCAGCUACUCCUAGAGCCCCUGAAGCUCUAGCCCAAGGCUCUCUGACUGACUCCUUCCUAGAUCUGCUCGGCUUAGCAGCUGAAGAUUGACGCUGCCUGAUCGCCUCGGAAGCCCCCGGACCAUCACGGAUGCCGAGCUUCGGAUAACUCUCACAGUGGAGGGUAAGUCCAUCCCCUGUUUAAUCGAUACGGGGGCUACGCACUCCACAUUACCUUCUUUUCAAGGGACUGUUUCCCUUGCCCCCAUAACUGUUGUGGGUAUUGACGGCCAAGCUUCAAAACCCCUUAAAACUCCCCCACUCUGGUGCCAACUUGGACAACACUCUUUUAUGCACUCUUUUUUAGUUAUCCCCACCUGCCCAGUUCCCUUAUUAGGCCGAGAUAUUUUAACCAAAUUAUCUGCUUUCCUGACUAUUCCUGGACUACAGCCGCAUCUCAUUGCCACCCUUCUUCCCAACCCAAGGCCUCCUUUGCGUCUUCCUCUCAUAUCCCCCGACCUUAACCACAAGUAUAGGACAUCUCUACUCCCUCCCUGGCAACCAAUCACAUGACCGUCACCAUCCUAUUAAAACCUAAUCACCGUUACCCUGCUCAACACCAAUAUCCCAUCCCACAGCACUUUUUAAAAGGAUUAAAGCCUGUUAUCACUCGCCUGUUACAGUAUGGGCUUCUAAAACCUAUAAACUCUCCUUACAAUUCCCCCAUUUUGCCUGUCCAAAAACCGGACAAGUCUUACAGACUAGUUCAGGAUCUGCGCCUCAUCAAUCAAAUUGUUUUGCCUAUCCACCCUGUGGUGCCCAACCCGUACACUCUUUUGUCCUCAAUACCUUCCUCCACAACUCACUAUUCCAUUCUUGAUCUUAAAGAUGCUUUUUUCACUAUUCCCCUGCACCCCUUGUCCCAGCCUCUCUUUGCUUUCACCUGGACUGACCCUGGCACCCAUCAGUCCCAGCAGCUUACCUGGGCUGUGCUGCUGCAAGGUUUCAGGGACAGCCUUCAUUACUUCAGCCAAGCUGUUUCUCAUGAUUUACUUUCUUUCCACUCCUCCGCUUCUCACCUUAUUCAAUAUAUUGAUGACCUUCUUCUUUGUAGCUCCUCCUUUGAAUCUUCUCAACAAGACACCCUUCUGCUCCUUCAGCAUUUAUUCUCCAAAGGAUAUCUGGUAUCCCCCUCCAAAGCUCGAAUUUCUUCUCCAUCCGUUACCUACCUUGGCAUAAUUCUUCAUAAAAACACACUGCUCUCCCUGCCAAUCAUGUCCUACUGAUCUCUCAAACCCCAACCCCUUCUACAAAACAGCAACUCCUUUCCUUCCUAGGCAUGGUUGGAUACUUUCAACUUUGGAUACCUGGUUUUGCCAUCCUAACAAAACCAUUAUAUAAACUCACAAAAGGAAACCUAGUUGACCCCAUAGAUCUUAAAUCCUUUUCCCACUCCUCUUUCCGUUCCUUGAAGACAGCUUUAGAGACUGCCCCCACUCUAGCUCUCCCUGACUCAUCCCAACCCUUUUCAUUACACACAGCCUAAGUGCAGGGCUGUGCAGUCGGAAUUCUUACACAAGGACUGGGAUCACGUCCUGCAGCCUUUUUGUCCAAACAACUUGACCUCAAUGUUUUAGGCUGGCCAUCGUGUCUCCGUGCAGCGGCUGCUGCUGCCCUAAUACUUUUAGAGGCCCUCAAAAUCACAAACUAUGCUCAACUCACUCUCUACAGCUCUCAUAACUUCCAAAAUCUAUUUUCUUCCUCACACCUGACCAUAUACUUUCUGCUCCCCAGCUCCUUCAGCUAUACUCACUCUGUUGAGUCUCCCACAAUUACCAUUGUUCCUAGCCUGGACUUCAAUCCGGCCUCCAGCAUUAUUCCAGAUACCACACCUGACCCUCAUGACUGCCUCUCUGAUCCACCUGACAUUCACCCCAUUUCCCCAUAUUUCCUUCUUCCCUGUUCCUCACCCUGAUCACAUUUGGUUUAUUGAUGGCGGUUCCACCAGGCCUAAUCGCCACUCACCAGCAAAGGCAGGCUAUGCAAUAGUAUCUUCCACAUCUAUCAUUGAGGCUACCGCUCUGCCCCCCUCCACUACCUCUCAGCAAGCCGAACUAGUUGCCUUAACUCGGGCCCUCACUCUUGCAAAGGGACUACGCAUUAAUAUUUAUACUGACUCUAAAUAUGCCUUCCAUAUUCUGCACCACCAUGCGGUUAUAUGGGCUGAAAGAGGUUUUCUCACUACGCAAGGGUCCUGCAUCAUUAAUGCCUCUUUAAUAAAAACUCUGCUCAUGGCCGCUUUACUUCCAAAGGAAGCUGGAGUCAUUCACUGCAAGGGGCAUCAAAAGGCGUCAGAUUGAGAGGUGACAGCAUGCUGGCAGUCCUCACAGCCCUCGCUCGCUCUCGGCGCCUCCUCUGCCUGGGCUCCCACUUUGGCGGCACUUGAGGAGCCCUUCAGCCCACCGCUGCACUGUGGGAGCCCCUUUGUGGGCUGGCCAAGGCCAGAGCUGGCUCCGUCAGCUUGUGGGGAGGUGUGGAGUGAGAGGCGCGAGCGGGAACCGGGGCUGUAGGCGGCGCUUGCGGGCCAGCUAGAGUUCCGGGUGGGCGUGGGCUUGGUGGGCCCCGCACUCAGAGCAGCCAGCCGGCCCUGCCGGCCCCAGGCAAUGAGGGGCUUAGCACCAGGGCCAGCGGAUGCAGAGGGUGUACUGGGUCCCCCAGCAGUGCCAGCCCACUGGCGCUAUGCUCGAUUUCUCACCGGGCCUUAGCUACCUCCCCGCGGGGCAGGGCUCAGGACCUGCAGCCCACCAUGCCUGAGCCUCCCACCCUCUCCAUGGGCUCCUGCACGGCCCCAGCCUCCCCGAUGAGCGCUGCCCCCUGCUCCACAGCACCCAGUCCCAUCAACCACCCAAGGGCUGAGGAGUGCGGGCGCAGGGCGUGGGACUGGCAGGCAGCUCCACCUGCAGCCCCGGUACAGGAUCCACUGGGUGAAGCCAGCUGGGCUCCUGAGUCUGGUGGGGACGUGGAGAACCUUUAUGUCUAGCCCAGGGAUUGCAAAUACACCAAUCGGCACUCUGUAUCUAGCUCAAGGUUUGUAAACACACCAAUCAGCACCCUGUGUCUAGCUCACGGUUUGUGAAUGCACCAAUCAACACUGUAUCUAGCUGCUCUGGUGGGGCCUUGGAGAACCUUUGUGUCGACACUCUGUAUCUAGUUAAUCUGGUGGGGACGUGGAGAACCUUUGUGUCUAGCUCAGGGAUUGUAAACGCACCAAUCAGCACCCUGUCAAAACAGACCACUCAGCUCUACCAAUCAGCAGGAUGUGGGUGGGGCCAGAUAACAGAAUAAAAGCAGGCUGCCCGAGCCAGCGGUGGUAACCCACAACGGUUCUCUUCCCCACUGUGGAAGCUUUGUUUUUUUGCUCUUUGGGUCCACACUGUUUUUAUUGAGCUGUAACACCAUGAAGGUUUGCAGCUUCACUUAAGCCAGCGUAGACCACGAGCCUACUGGGAGGAACGAACAACUCCGGAUGCGCUGCCUCAUAAGAGUUCUUAACACUCACCGCGAAGGUCUGCAGCUUCACUCCUGAGCUAGUGAGACGACGAACACAUCCGUAACAGCAGAAACAACAAACUCUGGAUGCAGCACCUUAAGAGCUGUACCACUCACUGUGAGGGUCUGUGGCUUCAUUUUUAAAGUCAGUGAGACCAAGAAUCCACCAAUUCCAGACACAUAGAUCCUAUUGCUCUAGGCAACGCUUAUGCUGAUGAGGUGGCUAGACGAGCAGCUAGCGUUCCAACUUCUGUCCGUCAUGGCCAGUUUUUCCUCUACACGUCGGUCACUCCCACUUACUCCCCCACUGAAACUUCCACCAUAUUAAUCUCUUCCCACACAAGGCAAAUGGUUCUUAGGCCAAGGAAAAUAUCUCCUUCCAGCCUCACAGGCCCAUUCUAUUCUGUCGUCAUUUCAUAACCUCUUCCAUGAAGGUUACAAGCCGCUAGCCCGUCUCUCAGAACCUCUCGUUUCCUUUCCAUCAUGGAAAUCUAUCCUCAAGGAAAUCACUUCUCAGUGUUCCAUCUGCUAUUCUACUCAGGGAUUGUUCAGGCCCCCUCCCUUCCCUACACAUCAAGCUCGGGGAUUUGCCCCUGCCCAGGACUGGCAAAUUGACUUUACUCACAUGCCCUGAGUCAGAAAACUAAAAUACCUCUUGGUCUGGGUAGACACUUUCACUGGAUGGGUAGAAGCCUUUCCCACAGGGUCUGAGAAGGCCACCGCGGUCAUUUCUUCCCUUCUGUCAGACAUAAUUCCUCGGUUUGGCCUUCCCACCUCUAUACAGUCUGAUAACGGAUCAGCCUUUAUUAGUCAAAUCACCCGAGCAGGUUUUCAGGCUCUCAGUAUUCAGUGAAACCUUUGUAUCCGUUACCGUCCUCAGUCUUCAGGAAAGGUAGAACAGACUAAUGGUCUUUUAAAAACAGAACUCACCAAGCUCAGCCACCAACUUAAAAAGGACUGGACAAUACCUUUACCACUUGCCCUUCUCAGAAGUCAGACCUGUCCUCGGAAUGCUACAGGGUACAGCACAUUUAAGCUCCUGUAUAGACGCUCCUUUUUAUUAGGCCCCAGUCUCAUUCCAGACACCAGACCAACUUGGACUGCACCCCAAAAUGUUGUCAUCCCUACUAUCUUCUGUCUAGUCAUACUCCUAUUCACCGUUCUCAACUACUCAUAAAUGCCCUGCUCUUGUUUACACUGCCGGUUUUCACUGUUUCUCCAAGCCAUCACAGCUGAUAUCUCCUGGUGCUAUCCCGAAACCGCCACUCUUAACUCCCUCUUAAAGUAAAUAAAUAAUCUUUGCUGGCAGGACUAUGCUGAACCUCCUUAGGCACUCUCUAAUUGGAUGUCCAGGGUCCUCCCAAUUCUUAGUCCUUUAAUACCUGUUUUUCUCCUUCUUAUUCCGUUCUUUUUUCAAUUCAUACAAAACUGUAUCCAGGCCAUCACCAAUAAUUCUAUACGACAAAUGUUUCUUCUAACAACCACACAAUAUCACCCCUUACCACAAAAUCUUCCUUCAGCUUAAUCUCUCCCACUCUAGGUUCCCAAGCCGCCCCUAAUCCUGCUCAAAGCAGCCCCGAGAAACACCGCCCGUUAUCUCUCCAUACCACCCCCAAAAAUUUUCACCACCCCAACACUUUGCCACUAUUUCAUUUUAUUUUUCUUAUUAAUAUAAGAAGACAGGAAUGUCAGGCCUCUGAGCCCAAGCUAAGCCAUCAUAUCCCCUGUGACCUGCACGUACACAUCCAGAUGGCCGGUUCCUGCCUUAACUGAUGACAUUCCACCACAAAAUAAGUGAAAAUGGCCUGUUCCUGCCUUAACUCAUGACAUUAUCUUGUGAAAUUCCUUCUCCUGGCUCAUCCUGGCUCAAAAGCUCCCCUGCUGAGCACCUUGUGACCCCCACUCUGCCCGCCAGAGAACAACCCCCUUUGACUGUAAUUUUCCAUUACCUACCCAAAUCCUAUAAAAUGGCCCCACCCCUAUCUCCCUUUGCUGACUCACUUUUCGGACUCAGCCCGCUUGCACCCAGGUGAAAUAAACAGCCUUGUUGCUCACACAAAGCCUGUUUGGUGGUCUCUUCACACGGACGCGAGUGAAACUGGGUUCAAGCGAUUCUCCUGCCCCAGCCUCCCAAGUAGCCGGGAUUACCGGCAUGCACCACCAUGCCUGGCUAAUUUUGUAUUUUUCGUAGAGAUGGAGUUUCACCAUAUUGGCCAGGCUGGUCUUGAACUCCUGACCUCAGAUGAUCCGCCCACCUCAGCCUUCCAAAGUGCUGGGAUUACAGGCGUGAGCCACUGCGCCCAGCUUAUAAUUUUUUUUUUUUUUUUU